UUGACAAUAUGGACAUGAUAGCCUUCCAUGCGUUGUCCAUCCAGAUAACAUACUAUAUGCUGGAAAAUCACUUAUUGUCCACAUUAGUACUGCCCGCAUUUGAAAGUUUUCUUUACACGAAACAUCGUACGUUUCAGCACCUUGAGCCCAUAGUUGUUGCAACUCAUAUAUUAGUGGCUGAAGAAACACAUCAAGUGAUCUCUUAGGAUGCUCUGGUCCGGG
rnacentral:lncRNA from 1 species